rnacentral:rRNA from 1 species
UGGGGAAUAUUGGACAAUGGGCGCAAGCCUGAUCCAGCAAUGCCGCGUGUGUGAAGAAGGCCUGAGGGUUGUAAAGCACUUUCAAUUGGGAGGCAUUACCUUUAGAAGAAGCACCGGCUAACUCCGUGCCAGCAGCCGCGGUAAUACGGAGGGUGCGAGCGUUAAUCGGAAUUACUGGGCGUAAAGCGUACGUAGGCGGUUAUUUAAGUCAGAUGUGAAAGCCCCGGGCUUAACCUGGGAACGGCAUUUGAAACUGGAUAACUGGAGUUUAGUAGAGGGGAGUGGAAUUUCAGGUGUAGCGGUGAAAUGCGUAGAGAUCUGAAGGAACACCAGUGGCGAAGGCGACUCCCUGGACUAAAACUGACGCUGAGGUACGAAAGCGUGGGUAGCGAACAGGAUUAGAUACCCUAGUAGU